UUUGGGCGGCAAUAUACAUCGAUCACUUCCCAUGUUUCUCUUUGAUUGUACCGCCUUUGGCUUUUAUUGGCUUUUAUUGUACAGCCGUUUCAAAACCAAUGCUCCACCCUCCAAUCCAUCACCAUCUUCAAUUGAAUACUAGCAAUCAAAAUCGAUGAAGGAGGAUUGGUAUCAAGAACCCUAGAUCUAUUAAUAAUUAUGUAUUCCUCUGUUUCUUCAUCGAUUUUUUUCCUUAUUUUGAUAUAUGUAAUGCGUAAUCCUACUCAUUGAUGUCCUGAACGAUUAGGGUUUUACUUUCUCUCUUGAGUCGGUUGCUGCAAGGAGGAUUGGUAUCAAAAACCACUCCCUCAAAGAGAUUGAGCGCCAAUUCCAUUACAGCCAUUUCCUUUUCUCGCUAGACCUCAUAUCCGUUGCUGGUGAUGGUAUUUCUGUGUUUGUGAAUAUGUAGAUAGGGUUUCCAUUUCCUCAUCGCAAUCCCAUUUCAAAUCUCAUAAACCCUAUGCAAUCUGAAGAUAUCUUUAUGUGUUUCUCUUUUAUUUCAGCCGUUUUGAUGUCUAAAAAGCUUUUCACUGGUGGCUAGGGUUUGUAUGGUCCAAGAACGGUCCCUUUCUUUUCUAGAAUGUUAAUUAAUCAGGGUUGUUUUUGAAGCCCUAGAUAUCGCAUACAUCUUACUUCUGGUUUGCCUAUUGAUUUGCUCACAAAAAGUUUGAAUUGUAUUACGGUGGGGACAAGUCUGAAUCGUAGUAAUGCUUGGUGAUAAUGGCAUUGGGAAGACAACGUUUAUGCAUAUGCUGGUUAAAGUUGGCAAUUCUCCUACAUACAUACAGGUUAGAAAGAAAACUUGGUAAAGGAGGCUUUGGUCAAGUUUAUGUAGGAAGAAAGGUGAUUGGUAGUUUGGGAAACACAGGCCCUGUUGAGGUUGCUUUGAAAUUGGAGCAUAGAAAUGGCAAGGGAUGUGGUUAUUGUUCUCCAUAUAAGUGGCAAG